rfam:Myotis lucifugus cont2.22412, whole genome shotgun sequence.
GCUGGUGUGGCUCAGUGGAUAGAGCGUCAGCCUGUGAACUGAAGGGUCCUGGAUUCAAUUCCAGUCAAGGGCA